UAGGGAAUCUUCGGCAAUGGACGAAAGUCUGACCGAGCAACGCCGCGGGAGGGAAGAAGGUUUUCGGAUCGUAAAACUCUGUUGUUAGAGAAGAACAAGGACGUUAGUAACUGAACGUCCCCUGACGGCAUCUAACCAGAAAGCCACGGCUAACUACGUGCCAGCAGCCGCGGUAAGACGUAGGUGGCAAGCGUUGUCCGGAUUUAUUGGGCGUAAAGCGAGCGCAGGCGGUUUCUUAAGUCUGAUGUGAAAGCCCCCGGCUCAACCGGGGAGGGUCAUUGGAAACUGGGAGACUUGAGUGCAGAAGAGGAGAGUGGAAUUCCAUGUGUAGCGGUGAAAUGCGUAGAUAUAUGGAGGAACACCAGUGGCGAAGGCGGCUCUCUGGUCUGUAACUGACGCUGAGGCUCGAAAGCGUGGGGAGCAAACAGG
rnacentral:rRNA from 1 species